rnacentral:rRNA from 1 species
AUUGAACGCUAGCGGGAUGCCUUACACAUGCAAGUCGAACGGAGUGGCGAACGGGUGAGUAAUGUAUCGGAACGUGCCCAGUCGCGGGGGAUAACUACGCGAAAGCGUAGCUAAUACCGCAUACUAUUGGAGCGGCCGAUCUCGGAUUAGCUAGUUGGUGGGGUAACGGCUCACCAAGGCGAGGAUCCGUAGCUGGUUUGGGAGGACGACCAGCCACACUGGGACUGAGACACGGCCCAUACUCCUACGGGAGGCAGCAGUGGGGAAUUUUGGACAAUGGGGGAAACCCUGAACCAGCCAUCCCGCGUGGGAGAUGAAGGCCGUCGGGUUGUAAAGCACUUUUGGCAGGAAAGCGGUACCUGCAGAAGAAGCACCGGCUAACUACGUGCCAGCCGCCGCGGUAAUAC